UCGUACGCAAUGAAGUUUUUGUACUAAAAAUCAACAUUGGUCUGUGCACAUAUUAAGAUUUUUAUCAUCAUCACUUCAUCAAUUUAAACUUAUAUUUUGCGGCAAGUAUUGUCUAAUGUAAUUUACGUGUAUUAAAAAGGAUAUUCAAAUACAGCUGGACCUUUCCUAAAAGAAUUAUAUUCUAAAUUCAAAUAAACAACAAAAUGUAUAAAAUGUGGCAUGGUGCUCAAAACUUGAAUUUAAAAACUAACCUGGGAGAUGCUACUAAUAAACAUAAGUUGUAGGUGUAUAAUGAAUGCCAUUUUGUUUAUUUUGUGUUGUAAAACACUUGGAUAUUGAAAGAGUUGUUAUGAUAUUUCAUAUUACGGACAUUGCGUUAUAUAUAUUAUAAGAAUACAGAUAUAAGGAUAAUGGUUUAUUUUUAAG